CUUUUUCUCUUCCUCUCUUCUUCAUAUAGAGAGCUUUCACCCUCUCACUUUCUCUCUUCCUUUCUUCUUCGCAUAGAUAGAGCCCCCACCCGCUCCCUUUUUCUCUUCGUUUAUUUUUCCCUUAUUUUGUUGAAAGAGAAAAGUGAGGGGGUGGAACCUGCAGAAUUAGGAUUUUAAAGAAGUGAAGGGGUGAGAGAUGCGUUCAAUGGAUCUUGAUUUACGUCAACUUUUAUGAGAAAAAAACUUAAUGCAGGACAAAAUGGGAAUGAGGAAGUGCAGGAAGCAAGAGGGAGUAACUCUCCCAUUUCGAUGGCUGGACCACAGUGAUAAAAGGAAGGUCCACCUGCGAUAGGGGAAGAAUUUGCACAAAAUGAUAAUACUCAGGAUAAUUAUAAAGCAAUAGACCCCAAUAAAAGAUUCCUGGGGAUGGAUCAUUAGGACUCUUCCAAGCUGUCAUUCUCCAUUCCAUACCAGUUCUGAGGUUCCGUCCCAACUUCAUCCC